rnacentral:rRNA from 1 species
AGUGAACGCUGGCGGUAGGCCUAACACAUGCCAGUCGAACGGCAGCACAGUAAGAGCUUGCUCUUACGGGUGGCGAGUGGCGGACGGGUGAGGAAUACAUCGGAAUCUACUUUUUCGUGGGGGAUAACGUAGGGAAACUUACGCUAAUACCGCAUACGACCUACGGGUGAAAGCAGGGGAUCUUCGGACCUUGCGCGAUUGAAUGAGCCGAUGUCGGAUUAGCUAGUUGGCGGGGUAAAGGCCCUCCAAGGCGACGAUCCGUAGCUGGUCUGAGAGGAUGAUCAGCCACACUGGAACUGAGACACGGUCCAGACUCCUACGGGAGGCAGCAGUGGGGAAUAUUGGACAAUGGGCGCAAGCCUGAUCCAGCCAUACCGCGUGGGUGAAGAAGGCCUUCGGGUUGUAAAGCCCUUUUGUUGGGAAAGAAAAGCAGCAGGUUAAUACCCCGCUGUUCUGACGGUACCCAAAGAAUAAGCACCGGCUAACUUCGUG